AGUGAACGCUGGCGGUAGGCCUAACACAUGCAAGUCGAACGGCAGCACAGUAAGAGCUUGCUCUUACGGGUGGCGAGUGGCGGACGGGUGAGGAAUACAUCAGAAUCUACUUUUUCGUGGGGGAUAACGUAGGGAAACUUACGCUAAUACCGCAUACGACCUACGGGUGAAAGCAGGGGAUCUUCGGACCUUGCGCGAUUGAAUGAGCCGAUGUCGGAUUAGCUAGUUGGCGGGGUAAAGGCCCACCAAGGCGACGAUCCGUAGCUGGUCUGAGAGGAUGAUCCGCCACACUGGACAUGAGACACGGUCCAGACUCCUACGGGAGGCAGCAGUGGGGAAUAUUGGACAAGGGGCGCAAGCCUGAUCCAGCCAUACCGCGUGGGUGAAGAAGGCCUUCGGGUUGUAAAGCCCUUUUGUUGGGAAAGAAAAGCAGCAGGUUAAUACCCCGCUGUUCUGACGGUACCCAAAGAAUAAGCACCGGCUAACUUCGU
rnacentral:rRNA from 1 species